UUCUUCGGGGUAGGGUGAAAUUCCCAAUCGGCUGUGAUUGCAAUGCAUAAGUCAGCGAGCUUUAGGGCAGGAUAUGGUGAGAGUCCAUAACCGACAGUAUAGUCUGGAUGAAAGAAGAUA
rnacentral:ncRNA from 1 species